CCUACGGGUGGCAGCAGUGAGGAAUAUUGGUCAAUGGACGAGAGCCUGAACCAGCCAAGCCGCGUGAAGGAAGACUGUCCAACGGGUCGUAAACCUCUUUUAUCAAGGAAUAAAACGAGGGACGAGUCCCUUGUUGCAUGUACUUUAUGAAAAAGCAUCGGCUAACUCCGUGCCAGCAGCCGCGGUAAUACGGAGGAUCCGAGCGUUAUCCGGAUUUAUUGGGUUUAAAGGGUGCUUAGAUGGGUUGUUAAGUCAGUUGUGAAAGUUUCGGGCUUAACCCUAGUAUUGCAAUUGAUACUGGCAGUCUUGAGUACAGUUGAGGUAGGCGGAAUUCGUGGUGUAGCGGUGAAAUGCUUAGAUAUCGCGAAGAACCCCGAUUGCGAAGGCAGCUUACCAGACUGAGACUGACACUGAUGCACGAAAGUGUGGGUAUCGAACAGGAUUAGAUACCCCAGUAGUC
rnacentral:rRNA from 1 species